UUGAACGCUGGCGGCAUGCCUUACACAUGCAAGUCGAACGGUAACAGGGAGCUUGCUCCGCUGACGAGUGGCGAACGGGUGAGUAAUGUAUCGGAACGUACCAUUGAGUGGGGGAUAACGUAGCGAAAGUUACGCUAAUACCGCAUAUUCUCUCCGGAGGAAAGCGGGGGACCGCAAGGCCUUGCGCUCUUUGAGCGGCCGAUAUCAGAUUAGCUAGUUGGUGGGGUAAAAGCUCACCAAGGCGACGAUCUGUAGCGGGUCUGAGAGGAUGAUCCGCCACACUGGGACUGAGACACGGCCCAGACUCCUACGGGAGGCAGCAGUGGGGAAUUUUGGACAAUGGGCGCAAGCCUGAUCCAGCCAUGCCGCGUGAGUGAAGAAGGCCUUCGGGUUGUAAAGCUCUUUCGGCGGGGAAGAAAUCGCACUGGUUAAUACCUGGUGUGGAUGACGGUACCCGAAUAAGAAGCACCGGCUAACUACGU
rnacentral:rRNA from 1 species